GUCUGCAAAAAUAUAAAUAGUAAAGUACAGAUACCCAAAAAAACUACUUAAGUAGUACUUUAAAGUAUUUUUACUUAAGUUCUUUACACCACUGAUUCUGAGUGGUGUAAAUGGGCUCCUGUGGAUGUUGGAACAUAGCCAUUCAAAAUAGGGGCGAGUGGGGUAAGAUGAGCUCAACCACUCAACAUACCCCAUUCUCCUCUACCUGGGUUGGUCAGAUUAUUAUAGCAUUGUGCUAGGUAGAUGGUAAAUCCCUCAGCAUUGUGCUAGGUAGAUGGUAAAUCCCUCAGCAUUGUGCUAGCUAGGUGGUAAAUCCCUCAGCAUUGUGCUAGGUAGAUGGUAAAUCCCUCAGCAUUGUGCUAGGUAGAUGGUAAAUCCCUCAGCAUUGUGCUAGGUAGAUGGUAAAUCCCUCAGCAUUGUGCUAGGUAGAUGGUAAAUCCCUCAGCAUUGCGCUAGCUAGGUGGUAAAUCCCUCAGCAUUGUGCUAGGUAGGUGGUAAAUCCCUCAGCAUUGCGCUAGCUAGGUGGUAAAUGGCCAGUGUUGCUGAUCACAGCUCAGAUAUAGGUAUGACAUUAUUAUCCUACUCAAUCCAAUUAUCAGAUAAAACGUUAGUAUCUAUUAUCUCAAGACAGUUGCAGGUAUUUUCAUCCCCAUCGUGUCAGGAGCCUGGUAAGCGAUAGGAUGGUAGAGUAUAGUGUCCAUAGAGAUAACGGACGUGCCGACAUUAGCUGUGCUAACUAUAGCCCUUGCUAAAGUCGUCUUGUCUAACGUCUGGAUUUGAUAACAUGGGCCUUGCUAGCUGCGGGGAACAUGCUAACUUCAGCCUAGUUAGCAAAGUAUUUUGUUAGGGGGCAUAGAUGGCCACAACCGUCCUUUCUGUUUCUCAUUCUCCCUUUUUCUCUCUCUUUUUGUCUCUUACUUUAAACUCUUUCUGCUAUGCAUUAGCACUAAAGUGCCUGUCUGUAUGUCUGUCUGUCCCUUUCUUCCCCUUUAGCACUAUCAGGGCUAUCCUCUCAAAAUAUAUAUAGUCUAUUUUUAUGUAUAUUUUUCUUUUAGCGUAUGUACAAUAUUGUGUAACCUCAAGGUACCCUUCCCUUAUUGAGGUUUCAAUUAUGGUCAAGGAUGUAGUGACCCAUGAAAUGACUUGACCAAUUGCCCCUGACUUCAUCACGUGUUUGUAUUGGGUUGGUGCUGAAAAAUGUAGGCCCCGAGGAGAACCCCAUUGAGGACCUCGUCUAUGGAUGGCCGUAUUAGUGCCAAAACAAAAAUACGCUGUGACUCUUUCAGACAAUACAUUAAAAAGCUACAGUAGCUACUUUUAAUAGCUACUAUGAGCUCUCAAGUUCUGACGUUUUAUAUUUUUCUUGGUUGUUAAAUGCUAUUAUAACCUUGCCUGCUCUCUUGUUGUUUUCUUACCACCGUAAAAACAAAAAAACCUGUUUUGGAUGUUUUGAGACAUCUUGCCUCAUAGUUUGCCUCUGGGACACUUAUGAAAUUGUACUAAAUGAACAAAACUUACUGUAAGUUGCCAAUAUGAGCAAUCACAGACAGAGAAAAAUAGGGGGGGGGGGGGCACCUUUAAACAGAGUGAAAUGUGUCUGUCCGUUUCACUACCACCACAUUUGUAUAUGGGCUGGCUGUCUUAUGCACUUCCUUCUCAUUUGAGUCACGUGACUUUUGGUAGCAUAACAAAGCGGCUUCAUUGCUACCAGAUUGGGAUCUGUGGUCAGGACAAUUGGCCAUAAUGGUUUCUAAUGCAGAGGUGGGGUUAGGAAAGUAGUUUGACACCAACCUCACUGUGCCAGGUUUGUUUCUGUUCACUGCAUGGCACAAAGAGGCAGCGACACACACACAAACACACACACACACAUUAAACACAAACAGUGUUUUGGAAAUGUUAUAUUUUUCUCAUAAUGACUCAACAAUCUUCCAAACUAAAGCCAGAUCCUAGGUUCCAGUAAUAUGGGGGAAAACACACAAAAACAAACUUAGUGCAAGAGUUCAUUCUGAAAUCAAAGUUAAAUCCAACACACUAUGGCCUCAAAAGUGGACAAUGCCCAUGAGCUCAUUCACUGUUGAGGUCUAGAUGACAAACUUGAAUUUUGGAGUGAAGUGUCACUUUAAUUCUUAGAGAAGCAAGGUACUUGGAGGCAAGAGUGUCAUGUCUCCAUUUAACAUACCUACAGUGGCGACCCGUCAAUCAGGGCAGGUGGGGCAGAGCCCUACCUGUUUAAGCCCCACCUGUUAAGCUAAAAAUAUAUAUACUUUUUUAGUUGUAUCUGUUUUGCAUGUUAUUUUGGCAUUAGUACAUGUCACAUCAGUUUGCAAACAAUGUCAAAGAAAAAUCAUUGAGUUAAUAAAGCUGCAUAAAAACA